GUACACUCCUACGGGAGGCAGCAGUGGGGAAUAUUGCACAAUGGGCGCAAGCCUGAUGCAGCCAUGCCGCGUGUGUGAAGAAGGCCUUCGGGUUGUAAAGCACUUUCAGCGGGGAGGAAGGCAAUGCGGUUAAUAACCGUGUUGAUUGACGUUACCCGCAGAAGAAGCACCGGCUAACUCCGUGCCAGCAGCCGCGGUAAUACGGAGGGUGCAAGCGUUAAUCGGAAUUACUGGGCGUAAAGCGCACGCAGGCGGUCUGUCAAGUCGGAUGUGAAAUCCCCGGGCUCAACCUGGGAACUGCAUUCGAAACUGGCAGGCUUGAGUCUUGUAGAGGGGGGUAGAAUUCCAGGUGUAGCGGUGAAAUGCGUAGAGAUCUGGAGGAAUACCGGUGGCGAAGGCGGCCCCCUGGACAAAGACUGACGCUCAGGUGCGAAAGCGUGGGGAGCAAACAGGAUUAGAAACCCCAGUAGUCCCAUGAU
rnacentral:rRNA from 1 species